rnacentral:rRNA from 1 species
AUGCUGAUCUGGAGUUUCUGCUUGAUGUCGUGGACAGGUUCCCGCUGUGGGAGGAGUUUGGGGACAACAUUAAACACCCAGAUCCGGUUCCUCUGGCCGGGUUUAGUUGAGGUCAACGGGUCGGCGACGAAGGACCUGAAAAGGCACGAGGUGGAGGCCGCCGUUGUCCAAAUUCAUCUCCGAACUAGUCGGCGCAGUCAACUGACAGAGUCAACCCACAGGCCCCAGAUUGGACAAAAAGCGAUGAUGGAAACUGGAGUGCAGCUUAAUUUGUCUAUAUAUUCUUGCAGUGGAGAAGACUACGAGACCGACGCUGCUGCUGCCCAGUUCGACUACGGAGUUGACGACCUCUCUCUCUCUUGCCAGAGCAACCAGAUGUUGGAGCCCUGGAGCCAGACGCCACCGUCGACGAUGAUUCCUACUACACUGGAGGUGCCUACUACUACGUGCAGGCUGCUGACGACGACCAUGAGUAGUUUAGGAGGAUCCCAGGCAGGAGGCCUGCGCCUCUUUCAAUCUGUAUCCCAGUUUGUGCUAGCCUUCUUAAGGCAAGCUUGUUUAACUUAUGUCUGUACUCAGAUAUUGUUGCUUCCGCUAACUCGUCUAUGA